GAGCAACGCCGCGUGAACGAUGAAGUAUUUCGGUAUGUAAAGUUCUUUUAUUGAAGAAGAAAAAAUAGUGGAAAAACUAUCUUGACGUUAUUCAAUGAAUAAGCCCCGGCUAACUAUGUGCCAGCAGCCGCGGUAAGACAUAGGGGGCGAGCGUUAUCCGGAAUUAUUGGGCGUAAAGGGUGCGUAGGCGGUUAGGAAAGUCUAUAAUUUAAUUUCAGUGCUUAACGCUGUCUUGUUAUAGAAACUACCUUGACUAGAGUUAGAUAGAGGCAAGCGGAAUUCCAUGUGUAGCGGUAAAAUGUGUAAAUAUAUGGAGGAACACCAGAAGCGUAGGCGGCUUGCUGGGUCUUGACUGACGCUGAGGCACGAAAGCGUGGGUAGCAAACAGGAUUAGAUACCCUGGUAGUCCACGCCGUAAACGAUGAGUACUAAGUGUCGGGAUAAAACUCGGUACUGAAGUUAACACAUUAAGUACUCCGCCUGAGUAGUACGUACGCAAGUAUGAAACUUAAAGGAAUUGACGGGACUCCGCACAAGCGGUGGAUCAUGUUGUUUAAUUCGAAGAUACACGAAAAAUCUUACCAGGUCUUGACAUGCUCCGCAAAGCUAUAGAAAUAUAGUGGAGGUUAUCAGGGACACAGGUGGUGCAUGGUUGUCGUCAGUUCGUGUCGUGAGAUGUUAGGUUAAGUCCUAAAACGAGCGCAACCCUUGUCGUUAGUUACCAGCACGUAAUGGUGGGCACUUUAACGAGACUGCCAAUUAAACAUUGGAGGAAGGUGAGGAUUACGUCAAAUCAUCAUGCCCCUUAUGAUCUGGGCUACAAACGUGAUACAAUGGCGU
rnacentral:rRNA from 1 species